GAUGAACGCUGGCGGCGUGCCUAAUACAUGCAAGUCGAGCGAACAGAUAAGGAGCUUGCUCCUUUGACGUUAGCGGCGGACGGGUGAGUAACACGUGGGUAACCUACCUAUAAGACUGGGAUAACUUCGGGAAACCGGAGCUAAUACCGGAUAAUAUUUCGAACCGCAUGGUUCGAUAGUGGAAGAUGGUUUUGCUAUCACUUAUAGAUGGACCCGCGCCGGAUUAGUUAGUUGGUAAGGUAACGGCUUACCAAGGCGACGCUACGUAGCCGACCUGAGAGGGUGAUCGGCCACACUGGAACUGAGACACGGUCCAGACUGCUAAGGGUGGCGGCAGUAGGGAAUCUUCCGCGAUAGGCGAGAGCCUGACGGAGCAACGCCGCGUGUGUGAUGAUGGUCUUCGGAUCGUAAAACUCUGUUAUUAGGGAAGAACAUACGUGUAAGUAACUGUGCACGUCUUGACGGUACCUAAUCAGAAAACCACGGCUAACUACGUG
rnacentral:rRNA from 1 species